GCUGCUUGUGCUGCCCUUGCUGCUUGUGCUGCCUGCUCUUCUUGUUCCCUCCUCCGUGAGUACCUGUGUCCUGCGUCCUCCUUUCCUCUCAAUGAGGGUGAAGGUGAGUGAUGGGGAAUUAUACAGAGCGAGAUCCGGGUUAGGUAACUGGAUCUUGUUUGUAUAUCCCAAAAAAUAAUAGGAAAGGUGGAAAUUAAAAAUGGACAAUUGGGGGUACAGGCUUUCUCAUGCCGGUGAGUUGGUUUUUCUUCCUGUAAUAUGUAUGCUUUUUUAUAUCGCAUAAGAAUGUAUAAUAUGUGGCUUGACUCACAGGAAGGUCAACGACUACAAUGAAAUCACGCACCAUUUCCUAUACGCGAUACAGUCAUACAUAGUGAGGGGUAGGAAGAGGCCGGUGAGUUUUGUGCCACCUUAAAUUAUCCAACUAAAUAGUAGUCAUUUUUAUUAACAUGAUUUUUUUGUAGGCUGGAAUUGUUCAAGGUGGUAGAUGCGUAAGGGUUGGUGAUUUCGCCUGUGGUACCUGUGCUCCUGUUUUGUCUACCGUAUGUUUUUUAAUGUGCUGAAGAAGAGAACAAAAAAAUUAAAAAAAUAAAUAAACAUUUUUGUGUACAGAAAGUUGGUUGCUUUGCAAAGUACAAUCUUAACAGUUUCCAUCGAUUGCAUGCAACACAAGAUGUAUUGCCCAACAACUUUUUCAAAAUGCAGUGUCUGGGCUUAGUAGAUUUUUUAAAAAUUUUAAUUGAUAUGUCUGCCGGAAUUAGACAAAAAGGAACUGCACGCCAAUAUAAUGUUGGUUAUCAGGCGUUACCAGUCUGAGUAAGCAAUGAAUUUUUAUUCGUUAAUGUAUUUCUAUUUUUAUUCCAACAGUUCUUUUUUCCCACAAGUAUGUUAAUUAUAGUUUUUGUAAGAACAGGAUGGAUUUGGAAGGUGUUUCCGUUGAGGAACUAGGGAACGAGGUUGGGAUCGGGGAAGGUUUGUUG
rnacentral:lncRNA from 1 species